rnacentral:lncRNA from 1 species
AGUAACAGGCAAUUGUCCACACAAAGGGUGGAGAGGACCCAAGGUACUAUCAGAGGAUAGAUCUUUAGGUUUCCUGUGGACUAAGACUUUUUCUUUUUAUCAGACCUGAUUUUCUUUUUAGUUUAUUUAGAGAUAACAGGGGUAAAGUCUUUCUCAUCCUCUUCAAAACACAUGUUCCCUUUCCUAGUCAAGUAACAAAAUAGUACCAUCCCCAAUCACAUCUCCCUCAAGUAGGUCCUCACUAUCUUUUUGAGCAAGACCAUGUCUUGCAAUUUCUAAAUCUUUCAGAAUAUUGAUUUGUUCUAAAGGAAGUGAGUUA